rnacentral:rRNA from 1 species
GACGAACGCUGGCGGUGUGCCUCAUACAUGCAAGUCGAACGAGAAUCUAGAGCUUGCUCUUGAGGAAAGUGGCGGACGGGUGAGUACAACAUAGGAAAUCUGCCUUUAGGUGGGGGACAACAGAGGGAAACUCCUGCUAAUACCCCAUACGAGCUAAGUUGAAAUACUUAUCUUGAAAACUCCGGUGCCUAAAGAUGAGCCUGUGCCUGAUUAGCUAGUUGGUGGUGUAAUGGACUACCAAGGCGACGAUCAGUAGCUGGUUUGAGAGGAUGAUCAGCCACAAUGGGACUGAGACACGGCCCAU